rnacentral:snRNA from 9 species
AUACCUACCUGGCGUCGGGAUACCGUAAUAAUGCAGGCGGUUCCCCCGGAUUGUGGCUGCUCCAUUGCACGGAGUGGUUGACCCUUGCGAUUAUUUUUAUAUUUUAUAAGUUUCACUUCUACCGUGUGUGACUUGCUUGCACACAUACACAUU